GUGGGCAGUGUUUGCCCCAAAGUCCACUGGAGCAGCUGCUGAGUGGUUCGGUGUUUGGGGAGCCCUAAUCACGAGGACCCUUCUUGAAGGCUUCGUGUUAUAUCGUUAACUUCCGCAAGAACAAAAAGGACUGUUUUCAUUUUUCUAAGAAUGGCAGGUCAGAUCAUGAAAUCUAGAGAUAUCAGGCUGAGGAAUUUGGGUUGGACACGGCCAAGGAACAUGAAAGGUKCUCCAUGGGCAUCACAGUGCCCAGGUAAGGGAGGGGGAGGUGCAGGYGGCUGGGGUGUGGGCGGUGCAGGGCAGAGGGGGCGUCAGAGACAGCUGUGAGAACUCMCACGGCCGCCCAGAUCGCAGGUUGUGCUGAACACACUGGAGAGCGGAAAGCUGAUCUGAGAGUCAGAUGCUGAAACUGAACAGACUUUCCCUGGGAGGAUUGAGGAUCGCCACAAAGCCCAGGAUAAGCCAAAGCAGUGACAGGUCAGAGGCGGAGGACAGGCACUGUCAGAGGGCUUCUGUGCCCACCCAUUGUCAUGACAGAUGCCUGCAGUUGCGGCUUCSGGCCUCUGCCUGUACUUCCGGCAGGUGGUCCCUAAGCGCUCUCAGUACAGACAUUCAAGAACUGCCCUUCCCACUGUCCCUUAUGUAAGAGGCCACAUGUUUUUGCAACAAUUGCGGUAGUCUUUGAAAUAAAGAUCUGUGACCCUGGCUCCUUGACUUAAUAAUCUCCUAUAUUUAACUGUUACCACAAACACAUUAAUAUCCAGAUGGGCUACCUCUUGAAACAAAGAAGGAUGUCUUCUACAAUGUAGAAUGUCCACUGCAAAAGUCAACAUUGUAGAGAAGUAUGUAGAGUUGAGAGCAUUUUCAAAGUAGCAGUGAGACACCCAUCUUAAUACAGAGAUCUACGUGCUCAGGCCAGUGUCCUUUCUGCCCUCUCAAAGCCUGCCAGGACUUAGCAGCUGUGGCAGAGAUCURUGCCACCCACAAGCAAGGGGCCAAGGACUUUGUGUAAUUGUUGCAACUUCCCCAAUUGUUUCCGAGUGUCUCGGUCUUGGCAGGGAGCAGCGGGUGGGACUUGCUUUGAGUCCUCCCUCCUUUCAUUCUGGACARCUCAGAAGCUGGCAAGCUGAUCGGCCGUGGCAGCCACCUGACACCGCUUCGGGCUUCAUUCCUGUGCUGCUGGACCUUGGUGGCAAAAUCAGGUCCAAGUCACAUCUCUCAGGCACUGCAGAGCAGCAGCCCUCAGGUUCUAGUUGUUCCCCAGGGGUGGCCCUUCUUGCUCUUGGCUCUCACCCUGAGUGGCCCUCAGCCUGCAGCUUUGGACAUCUUCAUUGAGUUCCCACCAGGAACCAGACUCCGUGUGGGGGCUCUAAGAUGUGCAGAGCAUGGUCUCUCCUCAGGGACUUGGCCAGCCAUCUGGAGAGAAAUAUGCACGAGCAAGAAGCACUGACAGCAACCCCUUGAAGGCAUCAACUUUUCCUGCAAUCUCUCAUCCCCUGUGCGGGUCUGUUUUCUUAUCUUUCCACGUGUCUGUGUGGAGAUGAAUCCAACUCAGAGGCUCCUGACUUGGAAAAUGAUCUGAUGCUGCAAGUCUCUGCCACUUUCCUCCUGAUGCCUGGAGUUCAUCCUGCUGGGUCACAUGUUAGCAGCUUCCUAAGCACCCACUUCGCCAGCUGGCUGGGGAAGAGCACUGCCCUCUGGAUUAUUCUGUCUCCAUUGCCCUCUUUCCUGUCUCUCCAUUCCCUGACCCUGGGUCUGAAGGGCACCCCUCAUUCUCCUUCAGAUUUCGUUUUGUAUCCACCCCCCCGCGUCUGACUUACAGGAGCAGCUUCAUGCAUAAAGUUUUGAAUCAAAUUUCCCAUUGGAAUAAUAAUACACCGAUGAGAGAAAUAUGA